rnacentral:rRNA from 1 species
UACGGGGGGGGGCGAGCGGUUGUUCGGAAUUACUGGGCGUAAAGCGUGCGCAGGCGGCGGCUCAAGUCAGGUGUGAAAUCCCCGGGCUUAACCUGGGAAUUGCGCUUGAAACUAGGUCGCUAGAGUGUGGCAGAGGGGGGUGGAAUUCCGACGUGUAGGCAGUGAAAUGCGUAGAGAUGUGGAGGAACACCGAUGGCGAAGGCAGCCUCCUGGGCCAACACUGGACGCUC